UACGAAGGGGGCUAGCGUUGCUCGGAAUUACUGGGCGUAAAGGGCGCGUAGGCGGUUCUAUAAGUCAGGCGUGAAAUUCCUGGGCUUAACCUGGGGGCUGCGCUUGAGACUGUGGGACUUGAGGUCAGAAGAGGGUCGUGGAAUUCCCAGUGUAGAGGUGAAAUUCGUAGAUAUUGGGAAGAACACCCGUGGCGAAGGCGGCUCUCUGGGACGGUACUGACGCUGAGACGCGAAAGCGUGGGGAGCGAACAGG
rnacentral:rRNA from 1 species